GUACAGGAACCGGAAUCCCUCAUUGCAGGAAACUCGAUUAGGGCUCGCAUGGAGGGACGGCAGAGAGGAACCUCUGUGGUGAAUGUGCUGAGGGUCCUCUGCCGAAACCCUAGAAGUCCCGCAUCGGAUGGAUCCGCCAUUGGAGCUCAGGUACUUGGCGUAUGUUACGAGCAGAAAUGAUGCUGAUGUUACAUACUGCAGGUUGCUCUCGCUUCCUUUGAAGAACAGUCCUCCUGCAAUUUCGUUUCCAGAUCCAUUGCUGAUAUUAAGUAGCAGCUAAAAAUUACUUCGUGCUUUCCACUCAAUGGAAAAAUGGGUCAAAUUCCACGAGACUUUAGGACAUAAAAGUUUGAAUAGAGCCGAAUGUAAAUGUUGGUCAUUAUUCAUAUAUUUAUGUACUAGAAAAUAUAAAGACCAUUUAAUUGCAGGUGCAAUAACGGUGUCAAGUCCAUUUGAUCUUUUACGAUGUAUGUUGCACAUAUCAAGGACCCUAUUGAAAGGAUGAGUAUGAUAUUUUGACAGAA